UACGAGGGGGGCAAGCGUUGUUCGGAUUCAUUGGGCGUAAAGGGUGCGUAGGCGGCGCGGUAAGUCGGGUGUGAAAUCUUGGAGCUUAACUCCGAAACUGCAUUCGAUACUGCCGUGCUUGAGGACUGGAGAGGAGACUGGAAUUUACGGUGUAGCAGUGAAAUGCGUAGAGAUCGUAAGGAAGACCAGUGGCGAAGGCGGGUCUCUGGACAGUUCCUGACACUGAGGCACGAAGGCCAGGGGAGCAAACGGG
rnacentral:rRNA from 1 species